CGGCGGACGGGUGAGUAACACGUGGAUAACCUACCUAUAAGACUGGGAUAACUUCGGGAAACCGGAGCUAAUACCGGAUAAUAUAUUGAACCGCAUGGUUCAAUAGUGAAAGACGGUUUUGCUGUCACUUAUAGAUGGAUCCGCGCCGCAUUAGCUUGUUGGUAAGGUAACGGCUUACCAAGGCAACGAUGCGUAGCCGACCUGAGAGGGUGAUCGGCCACACUGGAACUGAGACACGGUCCAG
rnacentral:rRNA from 1 species